rnacentral:lncRNA from 1 species
AAGUAGAUUUCCAACAUGGUUGACUCCUAUUACUCUCCACAUCGAAUGCAAUUUCUAAAUGAGACUGACAAUUGGAAUCUACUUUGUCAGAAGGUGUUUGGGGAAGAUUCUUGCCCUCGUGAACUGGAGGAAGCUGGAAAAAAGAUUGCAAAGAAUUGCAAAGGACUUCCACUUUCCCUCGUUGUGAUUGGCGGCCACCUUUCCAACACCAACAUAAUAAAAGAUCACUGGGAGUAUGUUGUAGAUAAUGUCAAGUCAGUUGUAAAUGCAGCAGAUGAAAAAUGCUAAGAAAUACUUUCUUUAACUUAUAAUUACUUGCCUUAUUAUCUUAUAGCACGUUUUCUCUAUAUGGGAGUUUUUCCAGAAGACGAAAUUCGUGUCUUCAAACUCAUCAAGUUAUGGGCUGCAGAGGGAUUUCUAAAACCAGUCAGAGGUAAAACCUUGGAAGAAGUGGCAGAGAAAUAUUUGGGAGAUCUAAUUUCCAGAAAUCUUAUUUUGAUUAGUGAGAAGAGUUCUAUUGGAAAGAUAAAAAUCUGUAGCAUCCAUGAUCCGUUAAGGGACCUAUGCUUAAGAAAAGCUCAGGAGGAGAGGUUUUGUCAUGAAAUAAUGUUUUUGCUGAAGGCAUAGAGUAUUCACGUAGUCUAUGUAUUCAUCCACAGGAGACUUUUCACAAGGAAUUGUCAAACUGUGACAAUUUAAAUGUCAAUCCGUCCAUGGGAUCCUUGGCACCAGUCCGUUCUAUUUUAUGUUCUGUUUUUGCUAGCGAGAUUUAUAAAUCAAGUGACGAAAAACAUUUUCCACUGCUCAGGGUGUUGGACUGAUGUGAACCCCGUAGCAAUGGAAACUACGAAACCCACAACUAGAUUGAUGUGGAACCCAAGAACGCCAAUACUAAUCCGGUUUUGGAUCUUGAACCCCAAUAAUCGAACCACGAAACCUUAGAUUAGCGAAGAAUCUAAAACCCCUUGAUUACAA